rnacentral:rRNA from 1 species
UACGUAGGGGGCUAGCGUUGUCCGGAAUCAUUGGGCGUAAAGAGCGUGUAGGCGGUCCGGUAAGUCCGCUGUGAAAGUCGGGGGCUCAACCCUCGAAUGCCGGUGGAUACUGUCGGGCUAGAGUUCGGAAGAGGCGAGUGGAAUUCCCGGUGUAGCGGUGAAAUGCGCAGAUAUCGGGAGGAACACCAAUGGCGAAGGCAGCUCGCUGGGACGUUACUGACGCUGAGACGCGAAAGCGUGGGGAGCAAACAGG